GCAGUCGUGGCCGAGUGGUUAAGGCGAUGGAAUAGAAAUCCGUUGGGGUCUCCCCGCACAGGUUCGAAUCCUGUCGACUGCG
rnacentral:tRNA from 1 species